AUUGAACGCUGGCGGCAUGCCUUACACAUGCAAGUCGAACGGUAACAGGUCUUCGGAUGCUGACGAGUGGCGAACGGGUGAGUAAUACAUCGGAACGUGCCUAGUAGUGGGGGAUAACUACUCGAAAGAGUGGCUAAUACCGCAUGAGAUCUACGGAUGAAAGCAGGGGAUCGCAAGACCUUGUGCUACUAGAGCGGCCGAUGGCAGAUUAGGUAGUUGGUGGGAUAAAAGUUUACCAAGCCGACGAUCUGUAGCUGGUCUGAGAGGACGAUCAGCCACACUGGGACGGAGACACGGCCCAGACUCCUACGGGAGGCAGCAGUGGGGAAUUUUGGACAAUGGGCGAAAGCCUGAUCCAGCAAUGCCGCGUGCAGAAUGAAGGCCUUCGGGUUGUAAACUGCUUUUGUACGGAACGAAAAGCCCCGGGUUAAUACCCUGGGGUCAUGACGGUACCGUAAGAAUAAGCACCGGCUAACUACGUGCCAGCCGCCGCAGUAA
rnacentral:rRNA from 1 species